GCGCUGAUGGUGAAAUUGGUAGACAUGCUACUUUGAGGGGGUAGUGCCGGUAACGGUGUGUGAGUUCGAAUCUCAUUCAGCGCA
rnacentral:tRNA from 1 species